rnacentral:tRNA from 1 species
AUAAAAGAAUCAAAAACAAUUUUGUCUCCAAUUUCGACUUGGAAUUAGAAUAUAUUCCUUUUAUU